rnacentral:rRNA from 1 species
GAAUUUCCAGGUGUAGCGGUGAAAUGCGUAGAGAUCUGGAGGAAUACCGGUGGCGAAGGCGGCCCCCUGGACGAAGACUGACGCUCAGGUGCGAAAGCGUGGGGGAGCAACCAGGAUUAGAUACCCUGGUAGUCCACGCUGUAAACGAUGUCGAUUUGGAGGUUGUGCCCUUGAGGCGUGGCUUCCGGAGCUAACGCGUUAAAUCGCCCGCCUGGGGAGUACGGCCGCAAGGUUAAAACUCAAAUGAAUUGACGGGGGCCCGCACAAGCGGUGGAACAUGUGGUUUAAUUCGAUGCAACGCGAAGAACCUUACCUACUCUUGACAUCCAGAGAACUUUCCAGAGAUGGAUUGGUCCCUUCGGGAACUCUGAGACAGGUGCUGCAUGGCUGUCGUCAGCUCGUGUUGUGAAAUGUUGGGUUAAGUCCCGCAACGAGCCCAACCCUUAUCCUUUGUUGCCACCGGUUCGGCCGGGAACUCAAAGGAGACUGCCAGUGAUAAACUGGAGGAAGGUGGGGAUGACGUCAAGUCAUCAUGGCCCUUACGAGUAGGGCUACACACGUGCUACAAUGGCGUAUACAAAGAGAAGCGACCUCGCGAGAGCAAGCGCACCUCAUAAAGUACGUCGUAGUCCGGAUUGGAGUCUGCAACUCGACUCCAUGAAGUCGGAAUCGCUAGUAAUCGUAGAUCAGAAUGCUACGGUGAAUACGUUCCCGGGCCUUGUACACACCGCCCGUCACACCAUGGGAGUGGGUUGCAAAAGAAGUAGGUAGCUUAAC